GAAAUUUGGUCAACGAAUUUUAGAAUUUGGUGAAUCCUAGUUUAAAAGUUAUUAACAAUUUAAGGUUUGGCGUAUAGUUAGCAAACGAUAGUAACAAAAAUAGGGUUUUUUGGUAUCAAUCGAUCGGAAAUCGCUUUGUGAAAUUUGGUUAAUCAAUUUUAGAAUUUGGUGAAUCAUAGUUUAAUAAAUAAUUAACAAAAUGUGAAAAAAAUGACAGUUCUAUAAACAAUUACAAUUUACACACAUAUUUAACGUUACGCGACGUAAUGUUAUGUAACGUAGUAAAAUCUGUCAUACACGUACACAAAACCAACACACAUGAAACAAAAUCUGUCCCAAACAACGUCAAAAUUUUUGACAGCCCAUAAUUUAUUUCACAUUUUUUCCCGCGUUUCUUUCUAUUUAAACAAACAAAAAAAAGAAAAGUUCUCGACAAACUUUUAUGUACAUCCUAAAUAUAUAUAUAUAUAUCCCGGUCUGUAAUUUUCUAAAAAUAUUUUUUGUUAAUUAUUUAUUGUCCUUUUAUGUGAAGUGCUAAAACCUACGGAACUUAUCCAUCGUUGGUUGUGUUAAAUGCAUUAAGGUGCUUCAGAAAAAAAGAGUCCAAUAGACUUAUGUUUCAUUUUCUUAAGGGACAAACAAAAAAGGAAGAAGAUUUUAAAUGAUGGCCAACAGAAUCAUUCAAUUAUACAUAUGUGCAAGCUAUCCUAGACUUUAUGCUGCAAAGAAUGAGUGUAGUAUUGCGACAAGGUUUAUGAGCGUAUCAAGAAGAUCCCAGGCUAAAGGAGAUUAAUAUGAAAGUGCAACGAAUCGAAAAAUCAACAACGUGCUUAGUCUUAACACUAAUCAAGCAAUUUGAUGAUCAAAAUACACUCCGUCAGAUGCUCUACAUCGCUGACAAUGUACCUAAUUUCCAUAUGUUGUUCAAGAUGCGCCCCUCUGAUCUGAUUUAUAAAAUCUAGUAGCCACAUUCAAAGAAUGUCAAACCUGCUGAAAAUGCAGACGAUAUUCUUGAAGACCAUGAGGAAAAUCCACAUGUUUUCUUUAAACGUUUACCCGAGGUUAUUGGCGACAUUUGGAAACGUAUAACGUCAGUGUGGGCGUGUAUACUGAAACAGUAUUUGAAAGAUAUGUACGCCCUACAGGCUAAGAAGACGGUAAAAUAUCAAAUAACACAAACAUUUUACAAAAAAUUGUUACGACGAAAACAGUGCCCAAUUUCAAUUGCAGAAAUUAAGGAAUUGGUCAUAAAAUCAAGUGAUGUCUGUUUAAAUCCAGAAGAUGAGAAAGAUUUAUUUAUAUUUUUUCAGUUUAAACAACUUAUAAAUAAGUUUGAUCCAGAUGAUGCAUAUCUGCUCUUGAUAAAGAAAAAAAAUAAACAUGAUCAAGCUAGUGAGAGUAGUAUAGGAGCAAGAGCGGGCAGUGCGACAACGCCACAUGUAAAUAGUGUUAAUCAUACGAUGGUUUCAAGACCAUCCCAAGGCAAGGUUAGUCAAAGAAUGUUGUCUUUGUGAUUUGCUUUCACAAGUUAUUUUUUUUAUCGAUAGAAUGCAACAAAAAAUUCUUUCCUAUUUUCUAUUCCUUCUGACUUGUGCCGUGCAGCAUGCAUUUAAAAGUUAUAAAGGUCCUACAAGCAUAUAGUCAAAAUUAUUAUUGUUAAUGCUCCUGGAGUCAGGUGCUUCUAUUAAUAAAGUACCUACAAAAAUUUAAUAUUAUUUUCAAAUGCAAAGUUUUCAACAUUUUAAUUCUUAUAUUUGACAAAAAUGUUUGUCAGAUCUAUGCUUAAACUAAUCAAAAUUGCACCUCCUUGCUAGCAUGCCUUCAUUACACGGCCAGUAAAACCCAGAUUCGUGAAAACAGUCAAAUAAUUAUGUUCUUUGUUCUGACAAUUUUGUUACAUAUGUAUUAUGUUUCUCUUGAAACUGUUCUGCUGUGUUAUAAUUUUUUUAGCGUGUCUAAUGCAAAAUUCUGCCAAUUACUUGUGUAUAUGUAUGUCUGUCUUCAAAUGGGUAGGAUUUUGCUAUCGGGUUUCAACUACCUUUUUUGUGAUCUACAAGUUUCAUCAGACAGAAUCGGAUAACAAUGUUUUCUUGUGUGAAUAUUAUUUUUUUUUUGUUUAUAUGGAAUCUUGCAAUCUAUUUUAAAGUAUAGCACUACCACAAAAUUUGUUAACCAAAAUGUAGGCUUACAUGUACGAUGUACCUACCUAAACCCAAAUAUACAAUUAUUGUCUUUGGAAUCGAUAUCUUAAGAUAUAAAAAAUAGUAAACAAAAACAAUACCGUCCCAUUGUAGCACUUUGCUUUUAUUUACCCCUAAAAAAUGUUAUAAU